GAUGAACGCUGGCGGCGUGCCUAAUACAUGCAAGUCGAGCGAACGGACGAGAAGCUUGCUUCUCUGAUGUUAGCGGCGGACGGGUGAGUAACACGUGGAUAACCUACCUAUAAGACUGGGAUAACUUCGGGAAACCGGAGCUAAUACCGGAUAAUAUUUUGAACCGCAUGGUUCAAAAGUGAAAGACGGUCUUGCUGUCACUUAUAGAUGGAUCCGCGCUGCAUUAGCUAGUUGGUAAGGUAACGGCUUACCAAGGCAACGAUGCAUAGCCGACCUGAGAGGGUGAUCGGCCACACUGGAACUGAGACACGGUCCAGACUCCUACGGGAGGCAGCAGUAGGGAAUCUUCCGCAAUGGGCGAAAGCCUGACGGAGCAACGCCGCGUGAGUGAUGAAGGUCUUCGGAUCGUAAAACUCUGUUAUUAGGGAAGAACAUAUGUGUAAGUAACUGUGCACAUCUUGACGGUACCUAAUCAGAAAGCCACGGCUAACUACGUGCCAGCAGCCGCGGUAAUACGUAGGUGGCAAGCGUUAUCCGGAAUUAUUGGGCGUAAAGCGCGCGUAGGCGGUUUUUUAAGUCUGAUGUGAAAGCCCACGGCUCAACCGUGGAGGGUCAUUGGAAACUGGAAAACUUGAGUGCAGAAGAGGAAAGUGGAAUUCCAUGUGUAGCGGUGAAAUGCGCAGAGAUAUGGAGGAACACCAGUGGCGAAGGCGACUUUUCUGGUCUGUUACUGACGCUGAUGUGCGAAAGCGUGGGGGAUCAAACACGAAUUAUAUACCCUUGUAGUCCAAGGGC
rnacentral:rRNA from 1 species